rnacentral:rRNA from 1 species
UACAGAGGUCUCAAGCGUUGUUCGAAUUCAUUGGGCGUAAAGGGUGCGUAGGCGGCGCGGUAAGUCGGGUGUGAAAUCUCGGGGGCUUAACUCCGAAACUGCAUUUGAUAACUGUGGUGCUUGAGGACUGGAGAGGAGAUUGGAAUUUACGGUGUAGCAGUGAAAUGCGUAGAUAUCGUAAGGAAGACCAGUGGCGAAGGCGAAAUCUCUGGACAGUUACUGACACUGAGGCACGAAGGCCAGGGGAGCAAACGGGUU